UCUCAAUCACGGGGGAAAUUUGGGGCCAAAAUGAAAGCACAUGACAUCAGUUCUUUUCAAUCAGGCAAGAGUCUAACCUCCUCAUAACCAAAGUGAAACUAAUAGCAGAAGGAACUGAAUUUUACACUUCCAGGUUCAUUCCUUUGGAAUUGUCUUGGGAAGUUUCUUGGCUACACUCCAGAUAGAGGACACUCAUCUAGUCCUACUUUGGGUUUAAGAAACAUGCCUUAGGAGUUCCCUGGUGGCCUAGCUAUUAAGGAUCUGGUGUUGUCACUGCUGUGGUAUGGAGUCAAUCCCUGGCCUGGAAACUUCUGAAUGCUGUAGGUGUGGCAAAAAAAAAAAAAAAAGGAAAAAGAAACAUGAGUUCCCACUGUGCCUCAGUGGUAAUGAAACCAAAGAGUAUCCAUGAGGAUGUGGGUUCAAUCCCUGGCCCAACUAAGUGGGUUAAGGAUCCAGCGUUGCCAUGAGCUUUGUAUAGGCCAGCAGCUCUAGCUCCAAUUUGACCCCUAGCCUGGGAACUUCUAUAUGCCAUGGGGGCGGCCCUAAAAAAAAAGAGAGAGAGGAAAAAAGAAACAUGUUUUAGACAGAUGCAAUCCAUCGGAACCCAUCAAUUAGAGAAGAGUAGUAUUAGGCCAGAAAAGAAAAAAGUGUUAUCUGGGAAUUGAAAGGUCAAAGACACAGGCUGUGCAAACGGGAUGGAAAUCCACCUGGCCUUUGGACAGUGGACGUUUGGGUCAGUUGAUGUCCAAUCUGACUUCUUACUCCCACAUUCUCACGUUCUUCAUCUGCUGCUCCGUUUUUGUUGGUGCAAGAAAAAUUAAAAGACAGAUGUGACUUCCAAGACAAAUAUCAGCAGAACUUAUUGUGAGAUAUCUGAUCAUGCUUCCCCCUUGCAGGAGGCUCUUACAAUGUUUGCUAUUGACGUAUAAAGCUUUUACCUAAGCCUAUUAACACUUUAUUAAUCAUACUUAUUGCAAACAAAUUGUCCCCCAAACGACUGGACAUUUAUUCCCAUACUUUCAUAGUGGUCUCUCCCUCCCACUAAUUUGAAAUUGCUACCAAGGCUUUAUAGUUAGCAGGGAGGUCUACCCAUAAUGCACUUCUCCAAGUGAUGGACGGGCUCAGAAGAUGGGCUCAAGGGUGCAUCCAGGGCAACUCCAAGCCAACUGGAGAGUGAUAUACAGCAAACUAGUAGUUAAAACAAAAACCGUGGUGGUUCAGCAAGUUUAUUCCUGAGAAUAAUAAUAAUUUUAAAAUUCUCUUUGGGCUUAAAGUAUGUGGCAUAGAGUAUGUGGCCUGGGUAUUGAGUUCAGAGGAUUUCCAAAACAAAAUCUAACUCAGACAGACUUAAGCUAUGGUUUCUUUUAUGGGGGGGGUGGGUCCAGUGCCAUCCCAAUGUGCUAUGGAGGAUUGUUUUUUCAAAANGGUCCACUUUUCUUUCACUGUAAGUGUUUAUCAUGUCUUAUAAAUAGAGAUUUAAGUGAUUCUAGUGGUCUAUCACCACCCUCAGAGUAGAGUUCCCGAGGAACCUCCUCAGAAUUAGAGAGGAAUUCACUAAGAUCAGGGAAUUUGGGAGCUUCUGGGUUGAAGUGCUUAAGAGUUCAGUACAGCCGGGCAUUCUGUCUUUCAGACUCAAGUCUUAGGCUCUCAUUCCACCCAGAAAGUAUCUGCACAAAAGAAGCUGUUUUUGCUGAGGCUUAGUCCCAACAGUAUCUUUUUCUUUCAGUUUACCAGAAUGCAGCACAGUAUGCAAACGAUUAUGCAAAGCCCAAGUCAUAGAGCCUAAAAAGGUUAGGUCCAUUCACACACUUUGUCAGCGUUUGCAAAAAUGCAGGCUAAUACACAGCAGGAGACUAGAAGUAGUAUGAAUCAUUUGUUCUUGGGAAACUGGUGAAGUCCCAGGAAUUAAGGGCAAUGACCUGGGUGACAAAAAAGCCGAUGAAAGCUGGGUGGGCAAUGAAGGGCCAGUUGGCAACCCACCUGCAGGCAGAGGCUGACGACAAAGACCUGGCUGGUCAACCUUUGAAAGCUAAGUGUGCAAUGCAAUCAGUGCAGACCACAGUCCUGGGCCAAGAGUAGCAUAAACACAACUAUCCCUCCAUCGCACCCAGGCAGCCUCUGAGGCACACAGGCAACUCCCAAGUCUGAUCAGCACUGCGUGCCCCUCCAGGAAGCCAGACAGCCCCCUGGCUUCCAAAAGUGGGUCUUUGUUUCUUCUGUUUCAUUCAGUGACAAGCCUCGGCCUUCCCAUGCCUGGCUCUAAGUAAGACUCAUGCACUCUCCCAGUCGUAUCUCCAGCGUGGGUUCCAGCUCUGCAUCUUGCCCCAACCCCUUUAAGAGGCCCCUGGGGGUCUGCAGCAGCAGACUGUAGGUUGAGGGCGAGGAAGCCACAGAAGUGGCUGAAGAGGUGAGAGGAAGUGGAGGAAGGUGGCUGACACCAGAUGUGUGUUAACAGCUGGAGACUAAGAGAUGCUAUCUUUCGAGGUCACGAUGGGGGCUGGUCCUUUUGCCUCUGGGGAGUUCCUUCAGCCUCCAUCUAAUCCUGCGAGCUCUUCCAGAGGCACCAAACUCAGACUGACAUUCAGACCAGAAUAUGUAUUAAUUGUACUAUGUAUUAAUUGUACAAUUGACUAGGUACCACUGUGUAUUAAUUAUUUACCAGAAAUCCAGUAAGCAGAGAAAGACAGAUACUGAAUGACAUCACUUAUAUGUGGAAUCUAAAAAAUACCACAAACUAGUGAACAUAACAAAAAGAAGCAAGUUCACAGAUACAGAGAACAAAGUAGGGGUUACCAGUGGGGAGGUGGAGAAGAGGUAAUACAGGGGCAGGGGAGUGGGAGGUACAAAUUAUCAGAUGUAAUCUAGGCCAUAAGGAUGUAUUUACAACAUGGAGAAUAUAGCCAAUAUUUUGAAAUAACUGUACAAGGAAUAUAACCUUUAAAAAUUGUAUACAAAAUUUUAAAAAAUAUUUCAAGCAGGAAAAAAGAAAAAGAAAAAAGAAAACAAAGCAAGCCAGUAAGAAUGCUUAUGAAUGCAGAUCACGGGCAGGCAGAUCAGCUGUUUUGCGCCCUUGAUGGCAAGCUGGAGACAUGCUAGUCUUCCAGCCUGGCAGUUAGUUCUGUGCAGCAUCUCCCUUACAGGAUUAUACGCAGUAUGGACAUUUAUACUCUCUGGCCAGGACCAAGACACAGUCUUCCUUGUUCAAUGCAGAUGUUGCACUGCCCAGCUGCCGCCCCUUCCUAGGCUCUGUGAUGACCAUUCCCCCUUCCUAGGCUCUGCCCCUCUUUAGCAAGACGGCAGCAUGGUCCCUGACCAUCCCAGCAUUGCAAAGGCCACACGAUCCAGCAGUCUGCGUCAUCUGGUUCAUCUCGGUGAGAUCU
rnacentral:lncRNA from 1 species